GUAAUCUACCCAUUACUGGAAGAUAGCCCGGAGAAAUUCGGAUUAAUACUCCAUAACACUAUAACAUGGCAUCAUGAAGUAGUUAAAGAUUUAUCGGUAAUGGAAGAGCAUGCGGCUGAUUAGCUAGUUGGUGAGGUAACGGCUCACCAAGGCAACGAUCAGUAGGGGACCUGAGAGGGUGAUCC
rnacentral:rRNA from 1 species